rnacentral:rRNA from 1 species
ACUCAAAGGAAUUGACGGGGGCCCGCACAAGCGGUGGAGCAUGUGGUUUAAUUCGACGCAACGCGAAGAACCUUACCUGGGUUAGACAACGGUGGACCGCUUCAGAGAUGGAGCUUUCCCUUCGGGGACUGCCGGUUCAGGUGCUGCAUGGCUGUCGUCAGCUCGUGUCGUGAGAUGUUGGGUUAAGUCCCGCAACGAGCGCAACCCUUGCCUCUAGUUGCCAGCAUUUAGUUGGGCACUCUAGAGGGACUGCCGGCGUUAAGCCGGAGGAAGGUGGGGAUGACGUCAAGUCCUCAUGGCCCUUAUGCCCAGGGCUACACACGUGCUACAAUGGUCGGUACAGAGGGCUGCGAAGCCGCAAGGUGAAGCCAAUCCCACAAAGCCGGCCUCAGUUCGGAUUGGAGUCUGCAACUCGACUCCAUGAAGGUGGAAUCGCUAGUAAUCGCGGAUCAGCACGCCGCGGUGAAUACGUUCCCGGGCCUUGUACACACCGCCCGU